AUGAAGACAGACGUGGAGACGCGGCCGGAGCCGGGCUGCCAGGAACCGAUGCAGGUGCGGCCGGAGCCAGGCCGCCAGGAACCGAUGCAGAUGCGGCCGGGGCCGGACCACCAGGAACCGAUGCAGGUGCGGCCGGAGCCGAGCCGCCAGGAACCGAUGCAGGUGCGGCCGGAGCUGAGCCGCCAGGAACCGAUGCAGAUUCUGCAGGCGCCAGACCACCAGGAGCGGAGACGGGCGUGGCCGGGAUCGGACCACCAGGGGCUGAGACGAGCGUGGCCGGGACCGGACCGCCAGGAGCUGAGACGAGCGUGGCCAGGACCGGACCACCAGGGGCUGAGACGAGCGUGGCCGAGACCGGACCACCCUGAGCAGAGACGAGCGUGGCCGGGACCGGACCACCAGGAGCUGAGGCAGAUGCGAUCUGUGCCAGAUCAACCGGAAUCGCUGCAAACGCGGCCGGCGCUGGACCACCAGGAGCUGCACCUGCACACUUUGCACCCAAAGAACACAGGAACCAGGAGCGGGCCGACCACCUCCUCCGGGAGGGCGGCAGAAGACAGAGCUGGACCGACCUCCUCCUGGAGGCCGGCAGGGGCUGCAGCAGACGCUGCGGCAGGAGCGACCCCCCCUGGGGAUCGUCGGGAGCUGUGGCGGGAGCUGCGGCAGGCGCUGCGGCAGGAGCGACCCCCUCCUGGGGAUCGUCGGGAGCUGCGGCCUCCGAGGAGCCGACAGUGGCUGGAGCGACCUCGGCAGGGAGGUCGACAGGAACCGCAGCUGGAGCUGCGGCAGGGACGACCCCCUCCUGGGGGUCGACAGGAGCUGCAACAGGAGUUGCGACCGGCGCGACCUCCUCCUGGAGGUCCGCAGGAGCUGCAGCGGGCGCGACCUCCUCCUGGAGGUCCGCAGGAGCUGCAGCGGGCGCGGCCUCCUCCUGGAGGUUCGCAGGAGCUGCAGCGGGCGCGACCUCCUCCUGGAGGUCCGCAGGAGCUGCAGCGGGUACGACCUCCUCCUGGAGGUCGGCGGAAACCGCGGCAGGAACUGCAGCCGGCGCCGCCUCCUCCUGGAGGUCGGCGGGAACCGCGGCAGCAACUCCAGCUGGCGCGACCUCCUCCUGGAGGUCGGCGUGGACCGCGGCAGCAACUCCAGCUGGCGCGACCUCCUCCUGGAGGUCGUCGGGAACCGCUACUCCGAGGCUGA
rnacentral:lncRNA from 1 species